GAGAGAGACAGAGUGAGAGAGAGAGAGUGAGAGAGACACAGAGAGAGAGAGACAGAGAGAGAGAGACAGAGAGAGAGAGAGAGACAGUGGUCAGCAUGCGGUCAGACGGCUUGUUUAGAGCUGGUUUAAAACCUGCUUCAUCUGCGUCUUUAUUAAAGUCUGAAUAAAUGUGGAUCAGAGCGGUGAACAGCAGGAAUGGGUGGAAACGUCUGUUUCACAACACUUUAUACAGAACUUUGAUCAACAGGCUUCAAAUGUCUUUAACAGAUAAAAUGGACUUAAACCCAGUUUCUGAGUCCUGUGUGUCUUUUUUACUGCUGACGCUAAUAAUCUCUCUCUGGAGUUUGACGUCGUCCGUGACCCAUUAGAGGAACAUAACCGCAGUGCUGGAGAACUGGAGGCCACAGGUUUGGUAGAGAACAUUGGCCAGUUAAAUCCUCCAAGUGCAGCCUUAAGUGAAGAAGCUCCUCUUGGCUCAGCGAACCAGAGAAACAGGAAUGUAAAGCAGCUUUUCUCCGUUGUUGAUCCAGUGGAGUUUAUACUGGAUGCAAAAGACAGAAAGACGUAUUACUGCUCUGCAGUCCGCUCGCUCCCUCUGCUGGACACACAGCGCUACUGCACAGAGCCGGUCUUUCCAGAAUCCAGGUCCGCCGGUCCAGCUCCGGAUUUUAUACCGACCACAGACCCUGGAAGGAUGUUAAUAGCUCAACUGUUCCAGCUCCAUUAAAGACUCCAGAGAAGACGCGGCUCCGCUCGGCUCGGCUCGGCUCGGCUCGGCUCGGCUCGGCUCCGCUCGGCGGCUUUUAGCGUUAACAUUAACUAACUAGCUCGCGAGCGGAACUAGGGCCGCGUCCCAAACCACACACUUCUGCACUUCACACACUGCACUAAUGAGUGCACUUCUAAUGGUCGCGCGCUGUUUCUACACUAUGUAGUGAGCUAGUGUUGCGGUUUGGGACGGAGCGGAUCUUUAGCGCCAUAAGCGGAGGAUUGCUGACCCUCCAAAUGGGACAUAGAUGGGUGGGAUACUACACGGCCAGCAGCCCCUCUGACCGUCAUAUGAACAUCUGUAAUUAACGGCUCCUGUUACAUCACUAAAGCAGCGCGCGCAGCUUCCUCUACAUUGGUUGCUCACAUGUUGUUUGGUUUGGCAGCAACUUCCACAAUUGUGUUAAAUCAAAAUAAACUAUUUAUGUUCAUUCAA